GGGGCAGUAGCUCAGUUUGGCAGAGCGCAGCGUUCGCAAUGCUGAGGUCAGGGGUUCGACCCCCCUCUGCUCCACCA
rnacentral:tRNA from 1 species